GUGGAAGGCCGGAGUGCGGGCCGUGAGGGGUGUGCGCGCUUGAGCCGGAGCGGGGCUCGCCCCUCGUCGGCUCCCGCCGCCCAGCCGGUGAUCGCUCUCCGGCCGUCCCCGGCACCCUCGGCCCCCCACGGCGGUUGGUCCGGGCGGGGGAAGGAGAAAGUGAGACUCGGUGUCAUCACCAAUCCAUCGCCAGAAGGGGAGGAAACUGGAAUCCAGCAGCGGCGAGCAGCAGCUGGACGGAUUUAUUUAAUGGGGAUGUGUUCAAGGCAAGACCGAAUUCAGAAGGAUAUCGACGUCGUGAUCCAGAAGUCCAGAGCUGAGGACUGCCUGUUUGCAGAUUUCAGAUACUCAGACUCCACCUUUACUUUUACCUAUGUUGGCGGCCCCAGAAGGUAUUUAUGGGUGUAGAGUUGCUUCAUUUCCUGUUCACACUCUUGUGUUUCCUUUGUUCUUAGCGUGUUCCGUGUUCGGGUAUUUUGGUUGCUUGUUUGAUUACUGUGGCUUUUCUUUACCUACAACCCAAGCCUGACGU
rnacentral:lncRNA from 1 species